rnacentral:rRNA from 1 species
CACUGCAACACACGGGGUAUCCACUAGUUCGGUGAAGUGUUCGGAUCGCGGCGACAGCGGCGGUUCGCCGCCCCCGACGUUGCGAAAAGUCCAUUGAACCUUAUCAUUUAGAGGAAGGAGAGGUCAUAACAAGGUUUCCGUAGGUGAACCAGCGGAAG